CAAUCCAGGUCGGUUUCUAUCUAUGACGCCCCCUUCUUCAGUACGAAAGGACCAAGAAGAAAGGACCAAUACUACAAGCACGUCCUAACAAAACAGCUGAACAAAACUAAAGCUAUUGGCACCACUCCAGUCGCAGAUAACGACUGUUU
rnacentral:rRNA from 1 species